rnacentral:rRNA from 1 species
UACGUAGGGGGCAAGCGUUGUCCGGAUUUAUUGGGCGUAAAGAGCGUGUAGGCGGCCAUACAGGUCAGCUGUGAAAACUCGAGGCUCAACCUCGAGACGUCGGUUGAAACCGUAUGGCUAGAGUCCGGAAGAGGAGAGUGGAAUUCCCGGUGUAGCGGUGAAAUGCGCAGAUAUCGGGAAGAACACCCGUGGCGAAGGCGGCUCUCUGGGACGGUACUGGACGCUGAGACGGCGAAAGCGUGGGGAGCGAACAGG